rnacentral:rRNA from 1 species
CAAUAGCGUAUAUUAAAGUUGUUGCAGUUAAAAAGCUCGUAGUUGGAUUUCUGUCUUUGUUGUGCGGUCCACCGCGAGGUGAGCACUGUGUGAUGGGGACUUCCUCUCGGUGUUUGGUCGUGUUCUUAACUGAGCGCGGCUUUAACUCGGGACCUUUACUUUGAAAAAUUAGAGUGUUCAAAGCAGGCCUACGCUUGAAUACAUUAGCAUGGAAUAAUUGAAUAGGACUUUGGUUCUAUUUUGUUGGUUUCUAGGACCGAAGUAAUGAUUAAUAGGGACAGUUGGGGGCAUUAGUAUUUAAUUGUCAGAGGUGAAAUUCUUGGAUUUAUGAAAGACUAACUACUGCGAAAGCAUUUGCCAAGGAUGUUUUCAUUAAUCAAGAACGAAAGUUAGGGGAUCGAAGAUGAUCAGAUACCAU